GACGAACGCUGGCGGCGUGCCUAAUACAUGCAAGUCGAGCGAAUCGAUGGGAGCUUGCUCCCUGAGAUUAGCGGCGGACGGGCGAGUAACACGUGGGUAACCUGCCUGUAAGACUGGGAUAACUUCGGGAAACCGGAGCUAAUACCGGAUACUUUCUUUUCUCGCAUGAGGGAAGAUGGAAAGAUGGUUCUGCUAUCACUUACAGAUGGACCCGCGGCGCAUUAGCUAGUUGGUGAGGUAACGGCUCACCAAGGCAACGAUGCGUAGCCGACCUGAGAGGGUGAUCGGCCACACUGGGACUGAGACACGGCCCAGACUCCUACGGGAGGCAGCAGUAGGGAAUCUUCCGCAAUGGACGAAAGUCUGACGGAGCAACGCCGCGUGAGCGAAGAAGGCCUUCGGGUCGUAAAGCUCUGUUGUUAGGGAAGAACAAGUACGAGAGUAACUGCUCGUACCUUGACGGUACCUAACCAGAAAGCCACGGCUAACUACGUGCCAGCAGCCGCGGUAACAC
rnacentral:rRNA from 1 species